rnacentral:piRNA from 1 species
UGAGCAUAGAGACAGUGCACUCUACAGCAA